UGCAGUCGAACGGUAACAGGCCGCAAGGUGCUGACGAGUGGCGAACGGGUGAGUAAUGCAUCGGAACGUGCCCAGUAGUGGGGGAUAGCCCGGCGAAAGCCGGAUUAAUACCGCAUACGACCUACGGGUGAAAGCGGGGGACCGCAAGGCCUCGCGCUAUUGGAGCGGCCGAUGUCAGAUUAGGUAGUUGGUGGGGUAAAGGCCUACCAAGCCUGCGAUCUGUAGCUGGUCUGAGAGGACGACCAGCCACACUGGGACUGAGACACGGCCCAGACUCCUACGGGAGGCAGCAGUGGGGAAUUUUGGACAAUGGGCGCAAGCCUGAUCCAGCCAUGCCGCGUGCGGGAAGAAGGCCUUCGGGUUGUAAACCGCUUUUGUC
rnacentral:rRNA from 1 species